UACGUAGGUGGCAAGCGUUGUCCGGAUUUAUUGGGUUUAAAGGGUGCGUAGGUGGUUUGCUAAGUCAGUGGUGAAAGCUGGUUGCUCAACAAUCAAGUUGCCAUUGAUACUGUCAGACUUGAGAGAAGUGGAGGCUCAUGGAAUGGAUGGUGUAGCGGUGAAAUGCAUAGAUAUCAGCCAGAACGUCGAUUGCGAAGGCAGUGGGCUGUACUUUUUCUGACACUGAGGCACGAAAGCGUGGGGAUCAAACAGG
rnacentral:rRNA from 1 species